rnacentral:pre_miRNA from 1 species
UCUUAUGAAUGAAAAAAGGAAGUGGUUUCUUGAAAUGAAAUUUACUUAUUGUUGAAAUGACAAAAAGGA